rnacentral:rRNA from 1 species
GUGUCAGCAGCCGCGGUAAUACGUAGGGAGCAAGCGUUGUCCGGAAUCAUUGGGCGUAAAGAGCGCGUAGGUGGCUUUAUAAGUCCGUUGUGAAAGUCAAAGGCUCAACCUUUGAAAGCCGAUGGAUACUGUGAAGCUAGAGUACGGAAGAGGCGAGUGGAAUUCCUGGUGUAGCGGUGGAAUGCGCAGAUAUCAGGAGGAACACCAAUAGCGAAGGCAGCUCGCUGGGACGUUACUGACACUGAGGCGCGAAAGCGUGGGGAGCGAACAGGAUUAGAUACCCUAGUAGUCC